AUAAAAUCAUCAGGGCAAAUAAGGGGACCUGUGACAAGACGUCGGCUUCCUGUCCUCGUCGAGGUCACUAGAGAUAUAGCGACCCUCGUGUAAAUUCACAUAAAUGCACCAAGAAUACCAAAGUUUACCCAAGUUAUUGUUAACCAAAGAAAAUGUAGACUGACAGAGUAGUGUAAGUGUCCAACACAACCACAACAACAACAGCCAGUCCUCCAAAUUUGCAGGAACGCAGUGAAAAUGGCAGUAGAGAAAUCCAAGAAGAACUGUCAACAGUAUGAUGUUGAAUAUCCAAAAUAUGGAUAUAUUCAAGCACCAAGCAAUCAUCUAGCAGUGUGCCUAAUAUAUGAAAAGUUUUUUUCUAAGAAACCAGUGAAGCCUUCUAGAUUUAUAGAUCAUUUGGAAACAGCACACUGACAAGGCGCGCGCACACAUCCACAGGAAGCAGCGUUCUAACUCCCAGGUACCUAUUUACUGCU